rnacentral:rRNA from 1 species
AUGCCCCGGUUCAUUUUAGAGUCACUUGGUUGUUUGAUGCGUUCGUGCUCGUCGGCGAGACGGUGCAAGGCGCAACUCCGAUGCGGUUCCUCGCUGGUUGGACGGCAUUCAGGCGCAACCCCGGCGCGCACUGAGUACUGCCUUGGCUAUAACCUCCCUCGAAAUUCAGUUCAUAUGAAAGAAAAGAAAGGCAUACAGUACCUGGCAUUGACAUUGGGAGCAUGGGCUACUGCUCGCACCUCUACCUACAGGUUACAGGUUCCUUCCUUUCCUGCGAAGGAAGAUUUUUGUUACUCAUUCAGAGUUCUAUCAUGCACAAUCAUGUAUGCACACCGGUCUAUCCAGAAGAUUAGGUCGGGGCCCUCUCUGCCUGGGCCGCCAGCUCCUCGGAGGGCCGCAUCCGGCCUGCCGCAAGUACACCUAAGUUGUCGCCUCCCCGGGGGCUGCAAUUGGAAGUGGAUGACCAAGGAGAAGGUGCACAGUGGGGGCCAGACGCUUAAGUGGGAGGCGGAACUCGCCUCCCCCAACGACGACGGCUUCGAUCUCAAGUGA